GGCUACGGCUCAACCGGAGUAAGCUCUUGAAACUGGGAGACUUGAGUGCAGGAGAGGAGAGUGGAAUUCCUAGUGUAGCGGUGAAAUGCGUAGAUAUUAGGAGGAACACCAGUUGCGAAGGCGGCUCGCUGGACUGUAACUGACGCUGAGGCACGAAAGCGUGGGGAGCAAACAGGAUUAGAUACCCUGGUAGUCCACGCUGUAAACGAUGAGUACUAGGUGUCGGGGGUUACCCCC
rnacentral:rRNA from 1 species